ACCUUACCUGGUCUUGACAUAGGAAGAACUUUCCAGAGAUGGAUUGGUGCCUUCGGGAGCUUACAUACAGGUGCUGCAAGACUGUCGUCAGCUCGUGUCGUGAGAUGUUGGGUUAAGUCCCGCAACGAGCGCAACCCUUUUCCUUAUUUGCCAGCACUUUGGGUGGGAACUUUAAGGAUACUGCCAGUGACAAACUGGAGGAAGGCGGGGACGACGUCAAGUCAUCAUGGCCCUUACGACCAGGGCUACACACGUGCUACAAUGGUCGGUACAAAGGGUUGCUACCUAGCGAUAGGAUGCUAAUCUCAAAAAGCCGAUCGUAGUCCGGAUUGGAGUCUGCAACUCGACUCCAUGAAGUCGGAAUCGCUAGUAAUCGCGGAUCAGAAUGCCGCGGUGAAUACGUUCCCGGGCCUUGUACACACCGCCCGUCACACCAUGGGAGUUUGUUGCACCAGAAGUGGAUAGUCUAACUGCAAAGAGGAA
rnacentral:rRNA from 1 species